UACAGAGGUCCCAAGCGUUGUUCGGAUUUACUGGGCGUAAAGGGUGCGUAGGUGGCGGGGUAAGUCUGGUGUGAAAGCUCCGAGCUCAACUCGGAAAAGCAUUGGAAACUAUCCCGCUUGAGGGUCGGAGGGGAGACUGGAAUUCUCGGUGUAGCAGUGAAAUGCGUAGAUAUCGAGAGGAACACCAGUGGCGAAGGCGGCGCUCUGGGCCUUUCCUGACGCUGAGACGCGAAAGCGUGGGGAGCGAACCGG
rnacentral:rRNA from 1 species